UUGUCUUAGUCAACAAAAAUAAAAUUAUAUUAACUUCAUAACUACUUUAAACAUCUCAUAAGUCACAACCUCAAAGAAGCAGAGUUCUAACUAGCUUUAAACAUUUUA